UACGAAGGGUGCAAGCGUUACUCGGAAUUACUGGGCGUAAAGCGUGCGUAGGUGGUGAGUUAAGUCUGUCGUGAAAGCCCCGGGCUCAACCUGGGAAUGGCGAUGGAUACUGGCUCGCUAGAGUGCGGUAGAGGAGAGUGGAAUUCCCGGUGUAGUGGUGAAAUGCGUAGAUAUCGGGAGGAACACCAGUGGCGAAGGCGACUACCUGGCCCAUUCUUGACGCUGAGGCGCGAAAGCUAGGGGAGCGAACGGG
rnacentral:rRNA from 1 species